GACGAACGCUGGCGGCGUGCCUAAUACAUGCAAGUCGAGCGGAUUGAUGGGAGCUUGCUCCCUGAAAUCAGCGGCGGACGGGUGAGUAACACGUGGGUAACCUGCCUGUAAGACUGGGAUAACUCCGGGAAACCGGGGCUAAUACCGGAUAGGUCUUUUCCUCGCAUGAGGAGAAGUGGAAAGGCGGCUUCGGCUGCCACUUACAGAUGGACCCGCGGCGCAUUAGCUAGUUGGUGAGGUAAUGGCUCACCAAGGCGACGAUGCGUAGCCGACCUGAGAGGGUGAUCGGCCACACUGGGACUGAGACACGGCCCAGACUCC
rnacentral:rRNA from 1 species